rnacentral:sRNA from 1 species
UCUGUUGAUGCAGGUCAGUUAUUUCCCUUCCUUUACGCCCAGUCUCGGGCGGCAUUGAUCCCGGUCAAUUUUCUCUCCUGCCCGAUUGGUUAACUUAGCCCCAUCGCAACAGAGCAUGUGCAGGAGGCCAGUCAUGUUUUUCGAUAACGUGGUGAUCGCCGGAGUGCUGACAGUCGGCCUCAUGGUUCUGUUUUUUGCAGGGUUUGGUUUUUUUAUCUGGAAGGAUUCGCAUAAGCGGAGAAAACCGUAGUUCUUUCUGGAGCAAUGAGCACGCAAGGCAUUUUGGGCGACUUCGGUCGCCCUUU